rnacentral:lncRNA from 1 species
AUGCCUGGCAUUUGUCCUCUUCUUUUUACUAUCUGUUGUGGUUUCCUUAACAUUUACAUGACUCUUUGUAAAUUCACUUUUCAGGAGAACUUCAGGAUGAAAACGCCAGUCUUCGGAAAACAAAUGGAGAACUUCAGGAUGAAAACGCCAGUCUUCGGAAAACAAAUGGUAACAUUUCUGAUAUCCAUCACCCCAGUGCUCUUGAGCCCCUCUGAAGCCACUGGUUCAGCCUUUCCUCUUGUCUGCCGUUUCAUCUGUUUCGCUUGUGUCGGCAUGCCUUUCUCUUGCACGUCCUGUCUA